rnacentral:lncRNA from 1 species
AUGUAUAAGACUUCAGAAAUUUCUAUUAUUUAACUGGUCCAUCUAAUUGGGGUGCCUAGUUUUCAAGAUUAGGGUUUCUGGGUAGGUCUCUUUUGUUGUUAAUGUUUUAGGGUUUUGAUUCUUGAAAGUCAAUAUUGUUGGCUUGUCUUCUUUCUUACAAAUUCUUGAUCUUUAUUUGUGUUUAAGAUUAAGAUCUUAAGGAAAGUAACUUUGAAGAUUAAGAUUUAAAAACCAUUUAUAGUUGUAGAACAUAACAAGAACAAGAAAACACCAAAAAGGGUAGGUUUUAGUGCUUAAUUUUCAGCUGUUAUUUUUUCAUGAUCCAUAAAAGUGUAUAAAAGGCAUAUCUUGAAAAUUAAACUAGUUCUAGAUUUAGUCAUACAUGUUAACAUACAUACUCAAAGUCACAUAGCAAUAUUAUGUUUUAUCAUGUAUCAAUUUCAUGAUAAGGAUCCCACUUUUAAUCAUUUCUGACCAAACUAAAAGAAAAAAAAUGAAUUUUGGUAAUUGAAGGUUAGUUAAUUUGGGCUUAAAGAGCUUCUUUUGAUGCUUAAAUAUAUGUCAUAAUUUUGGUACUUUCUUUACUUUAAGUUCUGCACAUGGUUAUGCUGAAGCUCAAGAAGAAAUCAAUGAGAACAAUAAGAGCAAAUUCAAUAAAGAUAAAUUGAAUAGGGUGUCUAUAAGUAGAUUAUCAUCACAAAGUAUACUUUUUGUACUCUUAGGCCUUAGUUGUAUUUGUACUAUAACAGGUGACUUGUAGCAAUUAGAUAUUUGUGGAGCACUUUUUUCAUGUAUACCUUUUGUAGAAACAAAUAUGUUAAUUAAACAUGCAAGCAUUGGUAGUACACCUAGUGUGAUCUUUUUCUAGGUUGAUUAACUACAUCUUUUGUUUUGUUUGUUUUGUAGGUUAAAAAAUGUUUUUAUAGGUAAUGAAAUUAAGUUAGCUUAG